AACGAACGCUGGCGGCAUGCCUAACACAUGCAAGUCGAACGAGACCUUCGGGUCUAGUGGCGCACGGGUGCGUAACGCGUGGGAACCUGCCCUUAGGUUCGGAAUAACUCCCCGAAUGGGGUGCUAAUACCGGAUAAUGUCUUCGGACCAAAGAUUUAUCGCCUUUGGAUGGGCCCGCGUUGGAUUAGCUAGUUGGUAGGGUAAAAGCCUACCAAGGCGACGAUCCAUAGCUGGUCUGAGAGGAUGAUCAGCCACACUGGGACUGAGACACGGCCCAGACUCCUACGGGAGGCAGCAGUGGGGAAUAUUGGACAGUGGGCGAAAGCCUGAUCCAGCAAUGCCGCGUGAGUGAUGAAGGCAUUAGGGUUGUAAAGCUCUUUUACCCGGGAUGAUAAUGACAGUACCGGGAGAAUAAGCUCCGGCUAACUCCGUG
rnacentral:rRNA from 1 species